CCUUUUGUAUACUUGGAUUUAAGCUAUGAGGCCACCACCGUUGGAAAGAAGACUUCCGGGGCUUCAUUUUACACUCAAGAAUCUCCUAAAGCCGAGUCCGAAUGGGGGAGAUAUGGUUGUUGGAAGUUGAGCAUCAAUCCGUUAUGAUCAAAACUGAGCAGUCUUCACUAAAAAAUGCAUAACUUUUUGUACAGUUGGAAUUUUGAUGUGAGUUUUUCACGAUUGGAAAGUUUACUUCCGGGGCUUCAAUUUGGACACAAGAAUGACCUGAAAAGGAGUCCAUAUGAAGAAGUUAUGUCCGUUUGAAGUUGGACCUGCAGAGCAGAAUUUGCUAUCGGCCACAAAUGUGUGCAGUCGGCCAAAAAAGUAGCAGAUCGGCCAUCACAAAUAGCAGAUCGGCACUAAAGAUGGCCGAUCGGCCAAGAGUGACCCAAAUUCAUUUUUUUUGAAGAUAUUUCUCCUCCAGUUGUUUCCAGCUUGCUCCAGCUGUCCCAAAUCAGAUAUUUUCGACCCAAGUUGAUAUUUUGCUAUAUAUGAGAGCCUUAUACUCAUUUUCAAAGGGUUAGAACUUCUUAAGCAAGUUUGAGAGCUUCUCUCACUAAACUUCCUCUCUCUCUACAAUCUUCAGAGCUUAAUCUCUGCCUCUCUUUCUAGAGCCUCUCUCCCUUGCUCUUUUGUGCAUAGAAGUGCAUAGAAGUAGAGAAAUACUCCUAGUUGGCCUAGGCAUCCUUCAUCAAAGUUGCAUAUCUAUGGGUUGAGGUCCCUUCGAGCUUAUUUUUGGAUUGUUGGAAGGUCAUUUGAGCCCGCAAAGAGGCCAUUUUGCAGCUGUGCUUCAAGGGUGUAUCAUAUUUUGGAUCGUGCUCCAAAAUGUAAGGUGGUAAGUUCUCAACAGAUUGGGACAAGGCCUGGACAAGGUUCAAGAAGCAAGGGAAGAAAACCAUAUUUUCAGAGUUUAGCCCAAACAAGUAUGUCAACAGGAAUCCUAGGCCUUCCAAUUAUCCACUGUCUGAGGAGGUUGAUCCGAUCAAGGGAGCAGAGAGAUCAAACCUCAUGUUAUGGACUAGUCCUACUUUUACUCUGGGACUAGCCAUUGUAAUAGUCACAUUUCUUAUGGUCUACACCAUUCUUGCUGCAAUCAAGUGAAUUCAUUCAGUUCGGUCCAAGCAAGCAGGCCUGUGCUGUAAAGAUUUGAUAUUUUUACUAAGGAAAUUGUUGAAGAGGGAUUUUGUAAGUUAUGUUAUAGCCACUACAUCUGUAAGUAAAUACAGCUAAUCUACUGGUCUUCAUUUCUUUGUUAUGUUAUAUGAAUAUCAUCACCAAUGCUCAAGAAAAUUGUUUAUUUGUAAAUAUGUGAGGCAUGAAAUUUGCUAUUGAUUAUUUGUAUAACAACCAAUUUUUUUA